CGUGUAGGCGGUAUUGUAAGUCAGAUGUAAAAGGCUACGGCUUAACCGUAGAUUGUCAUUUGAAACUACAGUACUUGAGUGUGAGAGAGGGUAGUGGAAUUCCCAGUGUAGCGGUGAAAUGCGUAGAUAUUGGGAAGAACACCAGUAGCGAAGGCGGCUACCUGGCUCGUAACUGACGCUAAUGCGCGAAAGCGUGGGGAGCGAACAGGAUUAGAUACCCUGGUAGUCC
rnacentral:rRNA from 1 species